rnacentral:piRNA from 1 species
UGGGUGCUCAAUAUUUGUUAAAUGUAUGAG